rnacentral:rRNA from 1 species
GUAAGGAAUAUUGGACAAUGGACGCAAGUCUGAUCCAGCCAUGCCGCGUGAAGGAUUAAGGUCCUCUGGAUUGUAAACUUCUUUUAUAAGGGACGAAAAAAGGCUUUUCUAAGUCGUCUGACGGUACCUUAUGAAUAAGCACCGGCUAACUCCGUUCCAGCAGCCGCGGUAAUACGGAGGGUGCAAGCGUUAUCCGGAUUCACUGGGUUUAAAGGGUGCGUAGGCGGGCAGGUAAGUCAGUGGUGAAAUCCUAGAGCUUAACUCUAGAACUGCCAUUGAUACUAUCUGUCUUGAAUAUUGUGGAGGUAAGCGGAAUAUGUCAUGUAGCGGUGAAAUGCUUAGAUAUGACAUAGAACACCUAUUGCGAAGGCAGCUUACUACGCAUAUAUUUACGCUGAGGCACGAAAGCGUGGGGAUCAAACAGGAUUAGAUACCCCUGUAGUCC